rnacentral:rRNA from 1 species
GACGAACGCUGGCGGCGUGCUUAACACAUGCAAGUCGAACGGAAAGGCCCUGCUUUUGUGGGGUGCUCGAGUGGCGAACGGGUGAGUAACACGUGAGUAACCUGCCCUUGACUUUGGGAUAACUUCAGGAAACUGGGGCUAAUACCGGAUAGGAGCUCCUGCUGCAUGGUGGGGGUUGGAAAGUUUCGGCGAUUGGGGUUGGACUCGCGGCUUAUCAGCUUGUUGGUGGGGUAGUGGCUUACCAAGGCUUUGACGGGUAGCCGGCCUGAGAGGGUGACCGGCCACAUUGGGACUGAGAUACGGCCCAGACUCCUACGGGAGGCAGCAGUGGGGAAUAUUGCACAAUGGGCGGAAGCCUGAUGCAGCAACGCCGCGUGCGGGAUGACGGCCUUCGGGUUGUAAACCGCUUUCGCCUGUGACGAAGCGUGAGUGACGGUAAUGGGUAAAGAAGCACCGGCUAACUACGUG